GCAACUGCCACAACUGACAAAAAGGCAGUUACUGAGCUCCGAGUAGCAACAGCCUCAACUGACUUGUGGUGGAGCAGCAGGCUGAAAACACCAAAGCUCCUGCCGGCUGCCACUGCUGAGAGGCUGGGUUCUGGAAGCAUUGGACCAUACAGUCGAUUCUUACAGAUGGUGGUCUCAGCCAAAUAUGGAUACCUCAGGCAUGAAAGUCAUUCCUUGCUCUUUAAAUGCUACUUUUAAUCGUUGUUUAUCUGGGAAGAGGCUGGAGAAGUGGCAUGGGGGAAGUCGGUCCCGGCACCUGUCGAGGUCAGCCUGGCCCAUUCUGUCAUCCCAGACAUCAAUAUCUGGCUUUGAGUGGCACAAAGGGAUAAAGGAAUGUGGAUUCAGAGCUCCCUGGGAUGCUUGGCAAUUCUAAUUCAACUCCAGACUGCAGUGGACACAAAACUGUUGGAACUUUUGUUGAAGAGAAGUCUGGUGAAGAUCUCUUUGGUAAAGAAUCUUUUUCCUGAAAUUGCUUCAGGCUGCACAGAAGCUGGAUUCAGAAAUACACCCGCUUGGAAUGCCUGUUUUGGGGGAGCCUGCCGCGGGGAAAGACUGCCAUCUCGUGGCCAGCGUGGGGCUUUAUUGCACAGGGAAUAGGGCUGUAUGGCAGAUCCAAGUGAAGGAAGAGCUUUUGCUAAGUGGGGAUGACCAAAAUAUCUGUCAUCAGCAGAAAGUCAAGAUCCCCAAGUAGUCCUGGGAAUCGAAACUGCCUGAAUUCUGCUUCUCUAGAAAUGAGAAUUGGGACUUAGAAAUCAUCAGACAGGAAAGAUAAGCUCCAGAUUCUGUCCUCAGAGCCCAUCCUGAGUCAGCCAGAGAAAAAGUUAAAGUUGUCUUAUCCUCAAAACAGACCCUGCUACAAAGUUGUAGGUGCAGUUCACCCCGGCUGGACAGAUGAGAGGCCACAGCUGACAUGGCGUGGAACAGAAGAAUCACCCAGUCAAGUCUCAGAAUGGUCUGCAUGAAGGGAAGAUGGCAUAAUAAUGAAGAUUCUCAACAGCAGCACCAUAGGGUAAAAUUUGCUGAUACAACAUUAAAGACAGUUUUUCCACUGUACCAGGGAAGGUCACAUCGCCAAAAAAUGUGGACAUGAAUAACUUAUAAGAUAGAUAGGACGAGGUCCUUAGGAUAAGGUCCUGUCCUAAGAAGUCUCCAGUUACAAAAUAAAACAAAAAGCAAAAACCCACAAAAAAGCUUGAGCUUAUAUCAAAUACAAUUAAAUAAGAACAAGAUACAUAUUUGCAUUAAUAAUUGUAAGAAAAUGUCAAUCUAAUGGAUACUGAGUUAAAAAAAAUGAAGUUGUAAAACAGCAUGAUAGUAUUACCCCUUUUAUGUAAAAAUUAUGUUAAUGUUUUCUUGGAAAAAAGUUAUCUAGAAAAAAAUGUGUGCUUGAGGGUGGAUUUCUUUUACUUUCUAAGUCAUACAUUUCUCAAGUGGUUGACUCCUUAGUGCAUUAUUUCCCAAUCAGUAAAAGUAUAUGAAAUUAAUAUUUAUGGCAAUGCUUUUCCUGUAGCUGCCUGAUAUUGCUGCUACACAAUAGCAAAGGGGUUAAAUGGAUAGUGCUUUUUCUAUGUUAAAGGCACUGUGGUAGGGGUUUUAUCUGCUUCAUUCCAUUUUAUUCUCACUGGAGAGGUAGGUAAUUAAUUUACAUUUUAAAAUGAGAUAUAACAGAAAGAUCUGUUUUUGCCCAUGUACUCAACACCCAUCCUUUCAUUUAGUGACUACUUAACGAUUCCCAGGUACUGCCUGGAGUGUGGAAAUAAAGCAGUGAGCAAGUUAGUCAGAGUCCCAUUUUAGUGCAGGGACAUGCAAGAAGCAAGCAGAUAAAUAUACAAGAUAAUAUUACAAGGAAGAACAAGGCAGAAGAAGGGGAUAGA